rnacentral:rRNA from 1 species
UAUACAUGCAGUCGAGCGAACUGAUGAAGAGCUUGCUUUUGAUCAGUUAGCGGCGGACGGGUGAGUAACACGUGGGUAACCUGCCUGUAAGACUAGGAUAACUCCGGGAAACCGGGGCUAAUACCGGAUAGAUUAUCUUUCCGCCUGGAGAGAUAAGGAAAGAUGGCUAUUGCCAUCACUUACAGAUGGGCCCGCGGCGCAUUAGCUAGUUGGUGAGGUAAUGGCUCACCAAGGCGACGAUGCGUAGCCGACCUGAGAGGGUGAUCGGCCACACUGGGACUGAGACACGGCCCAGACUCCUACGGGAGGCAGCAGUAGGGAAUCUUCCGCAAUGGACGAAAGUCUGACGGAGCAACGCCGCGUGAGCGAAGAAGGUCUUCGGAUCGUAAAGCUCUGUUGUUAGGGAAGAACAAGUAUCGGAGGAAAUGCCGGUACCUUGACGGUACCUGACGAGAAAGCCACGGCUAACUACGUGCCAGCAGCCGCGGUAAUACGUAGGUGGCAAGCGUUGUCCGGAUUUAUUGGGCGUAAAGCGCGCGCAGGCGGUCCUUUAAGUCUGAUGUGAAAUCUUGCGGCUCAACCGCAAGCGGUCAUUGGAAACUGGGGGACUUGAGUGCAGAAGAGGAAAGCGGAAUUCCACGUGUAGCGGUGAAAUGCGUAGAGAUGUGGAGGAACACCAGUGGCGAAGGCGACUCUCUGGUCUGUAACUGACGCUGAGGCGCGAAAGCGUGGGGAGCGAACAGGAUUAGAUACCCUGGUAGUCCACGCCGUAAACGAUGAGUGCUAAGUGUUGGAGGGUUUCCGCCUUUCAGUGCUGCAGCUAACGCAUUAAGCACUCCGCCUGGGGAGU